GACGAACGCUGGCGGCGUGCCUAAUACAUGCAAGUCGAACGCAGUGGGGACGGGUGAGUAACACGUGGGUAACCUCUUAUCAGAGGGGAUAACACUUGGAAACAGGUGCUAAACCGAUACUGAUGGAUGGACCCGCGGUGCAUUAGCUAGUUGGUGAGGUAACGGCUCACCAAGGCCACGAUGCAUAGCCAACAUGAAAGGAUGAUCGGCCAAACUGGGACUGAGACACGGCCCAGACUCCUACAGGAAGCAGCAGUAGGGAAUCUUCGGCAAGGGACGAAAGUCUGACCGAUCAACGCCGCGGAAGUGAAGAAGUUUUUCGGAUCGUAAAACUCGGUUGUUAGAGAGACGGUAUCUAGCCGGAAGGCCACGACUGACUACGUGCCAGCAACCGCAGUAAAAC
rnacentral:rRNA from 1 species